UUCCUUUUUCUUAGCUUAAGAAGUCUUCUUAUUUCGGGAAUUUCUUCACUAUGAGAGUCCCGAUACUUAUUAUUUGUUCCUUGUUUAUCAGCUUCUGAACAGACAGAGAAAUGCUAAGGUCGAUCGGCUUUACGAAUCUUAUUUCUCUCCAUCCUUUUUUUCUCAGCUGAAACCAUGAACGGCCCGAAUCACCUUUACAAUCGUCCACAACUUGUCAUUGCGAACCUCCAACUCCGCAAUGAUCUUAAAUCUGCCUUUCUGAAUUUUUCCCUUUCAGCCACACUUUUUUCCCUUUAACUUCAUCCAUUUUCAUGAUGCUAAACAUCUAUGCUAUAAUAUGUUAAUAUUUUCUUUGGCAUGUAUAUAUAGUCUCUUUUUUAGUUGAUACCAUUGCCAUUUGUAAUUGACAUAUUCAGGGACAGCUCUCUCUCUGUGUCGGCAUUUUUUUGCAAUGUUUCUUCUUCUUCUGCUUCUCUCUCUCUCUCUCUCUCACUCACACACACACACACAGAGUUGGGGUUUUCUUCAUACCUUAGUCAUAUCUUAGUUAACAGAUGUCCGUCUUUGACCAGCUUCUCGAUGAAAGCAAAAGAACAAAGAAAACCUCGACAAAAGGGACCAACUUUAAGGGAACGAGAUCAGGAUUGUGCUUGGAAAAUAUCGACGGCAUUGAUUAUUAUUUGAUAUUUUUUCAUUUAUUCUUUAUGUCCACUCUCAUAGUGAAUUGAUCUUAAGUUAUCUUUGUGGUAGCAAUGUUAAUUUGUGGGAAUGUUGUCUGUCCUUUUUGUGCUCUCAUAUUUUACUUGGUUCUCUAUUACAUUUCUCUAAAUUACAGUCAUUCUUGCCAUAGACCUGAAGCUGAAGUUAGUUCUCGGUGUCAACAAAUUAUUAUUAACUGCAAUUUCUUGUUGGAGCUAGAAUCUUAUCUUCAACUAUUGAUUCAGUAAAUAUAAUUUUGCUGUUGUCCAAUGAUAGUGACUUAAAACCUUCUGAUAUGAUUGCCAGUAAGGGCUUGCAGAGCACAGACUGAAAUAACCAACACAACCAGGAAGAUAAUUAUUUAUGAAAUUUUUUGAUGUUUGCUCUGAAAAGAAAAUGACAAGAAAAGGCUGCUGAAAGCAGUGGCUUGCCUAGAACUUUGUAGUACAUAGUACAUGAAGGUCGCAUGCAGAGAACGCUGGUCUACAUGAGGCAAGAAGCUGGAACUUUAGCUUAACUAUCUUAAUAGAUGCAGAAUUAAAAAUAAGCUGGAACUUUAGGUGGAUGUAAGUAACUAACUUGUGUAUAUGCAGAUCAAUCACUGCCAAGAACGUUCUGACAGCCAUUAGAAGCCACCUGUUGGAGCACCAUGAAUCUUCCCCCAUGCUGCUGGGAACAAUUGCUUGCAGGAGCUGUGCAUUACAAGAUGGUUGAGGGGCAUAGAUGUUUGUUCAAAUUUCAUGGUGUCCACAGUAUGUUACCCUAAGUUUAGACCUUAAGAACAGGUGGACUCCUGAAAAUCAUUUGGGACAGUUUUAACUCAGUGAUAUAUAUUUUCUGAAAAGAGUAAAAGCAGAUAAUUUCGUAUCUCUUUAUUUGGUUCAGAAAAGGAGUGAAAUCAGAAGCAGAUCAUUAUGAAGCGAGUAUACAAAAAUCCAUUCUCAGUCUCAUAAAAUACAUAUAGAUUAUGUGAAAAGCCAUAAACAAACAAACUCAUACCAUAGUGCAUAGUGUAUCAGACCACUUAAACAGGUGUUAUCUUCUUUUAUUUGAAACUACUUACCAUGAAAAUAUAUUUACCUACAAUAAACAUACAAAGAACAUAAUGAUGCAAUUAGAUGACAGCAAGCAAUCAUGAAUGCUGGUAUAAAAUGUUUGAGCUUAGAAAACAAAAUAAUAUAGCUACCGACCUUCAAGCAAUCGUGCCAUUUCACUGUCUUUCCUUUCAAGUGCAGGCUUAAAAUGAUUCAAUGAGUAAGUCAUUUCCAUCAGCUGUUCACCUGAACACUGCAAGUCUUUGUUCUUUUCAUCUAUUCUUAGUGCAGUAAGAUUCACAUCUCAUGUGUCUACUUCUUGCAGGUUCUCCGCAAUGAAGAUGCAGAAACCUUGAGUCUCUAAUUAUUUUUUAUGGUAAAAGAACGACUACUCCUUACAAUAUUCUAGCCAAAUUAGAAUUUUUUCUGAACACUCUUUUGUGCACUAGGUUUUAUAUCAUAUCCCAAUUUUACAGCUGCCCUUGCUGAUUCUUGAAAUAUAAGGGAAGGAUGCUUAGAUUUGUUGCAUUGAUACGAUGAUGCUGAUCACUAAUAAUGGGUUGUUAACUUACAUUAUAAUAUAAUGAAUUGUAUAGUUUAUAUAUGUUGUGCAUGAUCUUGUGAAUAAAAUUCUUGUUACAUUGAUCUGUUGUAGUUAUCAUUUCAAUGUAGGAAUAAUCAUGAAGCAGUCCAGGAAGAUGCAAAAAAGGAAACUACAACUUUUAUGGUUUUAGUAAUUGUUCAAAAGGAUUUUUGUAUGCCAAAUCCUUGAAGGGUGCUCAGAAGUUAAUUCAGUUUCCUAAUUAUGGUAUUUGUUUACUUGUUUCUGCUUUAGAUCCAUGCCAUAUUACCUUUCGUGAUGUAGCUCCAUUUAUUAAUUGAAGUCAUGGAAUUUAUUUGAUCAAAAUUUAAUAUGCCACCUAUUACUAUGAUGGGGAAAUGCAAAAGUUGAUGUGUCUAUGGCGCAAUUAGCUGGUGUAUGGAAAGCAAAUGCAAAAGCAUUAGCUGGUGUAUGAAAAGCAAAAGCAAAAGCAUGCUCUUCCAGGGUUCAUUACUUCUUGGUGUUAUCUGCAGAUCAGUUCUUGGGUACAAGUUCCCACGUACAUAGCAGAGAUGACACCCAAAAAUAUGUGAGAAGCACUUACGACAGCAAAUCAGGUAUAGGGGAUUAUAUUGUUUCUCUUUUCAUCUUCGGUAAACAACAGACCAGACGUAUCCUGUCUUCUUGUCAUACCUUCAAUCACAACGGCAGCAGUAAGUAGUUCUUAACAGAGCACCUUACCUGAGCUUGAGGGAGCUAGAGGUAAUGGAGCAAGAGUCAGGCUUGGGGCGACAAGCUUGAGCUCAGGUCGGCUUCCUUAACCCAAGGACAGAGCUUGAGAUUGGCUUGGAUACGCUUCAUUAGCUGAGCGUUGAUCAGCAUUUAACAUACUGAUCUAACCCAAAAAGAGGCGCAGCUACCAUCCACCUUGGCUUUGCCUUUGAUCUUAUGUCGCAGUUCAUCCUGGACUCGCUUCAUCAGCUCAAGUCUCCUCAUCAACUCUGCCAUUGCCCACACCACAGGAGCCGAUGAUGUAUCAGACCCACCAAGGACUACAUUCUGCAAAUGGGCAUUGGAGAAGAAGAAGAACACACUGUCAAGUUCUUGAAAACCAGCAUUACCCAAGUUUUCAGGUAUAUGGAAGUAUUAUAGGCUUAUAGCCAAGGGGCACAUGAUAUUUCAAACAACUGCUAUAAGUAUCUUCGACACAUACAUAUUUUCCUCUAGCCAGAUGUUUGAAUAGCAAAGAUCUAUGCUUUCUAAGGCCAUUGAUGCCCUUGUUUGUGCUUUUAUGUAUUUAUUUUAAUUAAUGGUAGUAAUUUAGAUUUUAUAGGAGUACUUGCAAAAACUUGAGCUUUUCUAUUUAUACUUUUCCUACUCAUGCUAGAUUUAAAAAAAAAAAUUCUUACACGCCAGGCUCUAGGGAAAAAAAAAGGGCCGACACUUCGUAGUUUUUUUUUUUCUUUUGGCAGGAUUAUAGACCAAAAUAAAUUGGGAAGGCAAAAACCUAAUUUGUUUGAUUGUUUGUAGAAAGCAAAUAAAUUAAACAUUCAUCUGAAGAGGGCACUAAAAUUGAAAGAGGCAACAGAGUCAAGAUGCAGACAAAGAGUAAACUUUAUGAUCUUUGGGUGUUUUGUGGAAACAUUCCUUUGAAUUCUGGAAAACCAUUCACAUUGGACGUGUCACCAGGUCUAUUUAUCUCUCCAUUACCACUGGUCAUUUUUUGAGUGUUUGUCAUGUAUGUAUAUGGGUUGAAUUACACUAGAUAAGCAACCAAUGGACAAGACUGCUAGACAAGUAGGGUCUUCAAAUGGCUGUCAGGCAUUCUCCCAUGAGGAAGUGAUAAAGAUCACAAAUGAUUAUAGUGGAAAAAUUCGUGAAGGAGGUUAUGGUCCAGUGCUCCAUGGGUGUCUACAGAAUGGACAAAACGUGGCAGUGAAGAUGCUUUCUAGUAAGUCAAAGCAAGGAUCCAAAGAAUUCCAGACUGAGGUAGGUGAAUUAUAUUCAUUCUUUACAAAUACAAUAUCUUUCUGAAGUUCUGAGGCAAGGAGGUUGUAGCUUAAUUCCAAAUAACCAAUUCAGCAUAUCCUAUGCUUUUGACUGUGAUCCUCUUGGUUUAAUAAAUUGCUCUGAAGUUGUGGGAAUCCUGUGGCACCUGCUGCACCGUUUUCUUUAUCAAUUUAGGAUCCAUGUGAUUGCAUUUGCUCUAGCAAGACCACUGUCCACUUGUUACAGUUUGUAAAUUUUAUCCAAAUGGUAAGCACAUGUUUGGAUUUUUUUUUUUUUGGCUUUAUUCUUCUAGCGUUUUUGAGUGAACUUUUUUAAUUGAAGUAACUAAAAUUCUCACGAGAGAACAUAUUUGCUCUCAUGGUUCUAAUUUAGAUUGUUUGGAUUGGACAUAAUUGUAGGCACAUUCUUUCGAUACUUGACACAGAUGAUUGGUGUAUUCAAGUUCUCUAGGAUCAAAAUUCCAUUUACUUAAGCAAAAAAAAUAUGCAUGUUUGAAUUUUGAAAGCAUGCCUACAUGCAUGAACGAUAUAUGAAUCCUCCAAAUUCUAACAUAGAAACUGCUACAGUGUCAUAACACAGAACUAGAAAAGAGUUAGCACCCAAACAGAAAGGUUUUUUUUUUUUCCAGUAGAUAAGGCUACAGUUCAAAUACUUGAUUGGAAAUUUGCCAGAUUAUUUUACCAAAUAGAAUCAGAAUGGUAAAUUAUCAAUUGGUCAUGAUUUUGGUAAAUGUUCUUUAAGCCUUUCCUAUUGCUGUAAAAGUGUCGGAAAUAUGAUACUCUGGAACAAACAUCAAACAUUAAAUAUGACCUGCCUUCUUGAUUUAGGCUGCUCACAACUGCUUGGAUUGGAAUCAGAGGUUUAAAGUGGCUUUCGGUGUUGCACAAGGCCUCGAUUACCUACAUUCUGGAUGCUACCCUGAAAUAAUUCACAGAGAUAUUACUUGACAAAUCACCUUAAUGGAAAGGGUGAUGUCUACAGCUUUGGCAUUCUUCUUCUUGAACUGAUAUCCGGCUUGCAGCCAAUUACUGUUGAACCAUCAGGAGAAAGGGUUUGUGUUGUUAAUUGGUUGCAUACAUGAUGGUGCUGCAUACUCAUUGGAAUGUAUUGCAAUGAGACAUGUCUCGCCAUGCUUGUCUUAAGGUGGUUGCAUUUCAACAUGUCUCUCUUUGCAUUUUUAGUUCAGCACCACUACAUGUAUGCUGAAGAUAUAUAGACUGGUGGCCAUUUCAGCAUCUGCUUUUCAAUUCCAUAGCUUUGCAAAACCAGCACAGAAGAAGUGUCAAUCAGAUGGAAGUGAUCCUGGAGAAGACAAGAUGUCUGAGAAAGAACUGGCUCUUCAGCAGGCCUUGGACCAAAUAGCUUCUUCCUUUGAAAAAGAAGCAAUUAUGUGGCUUGGUCAUUGUGCUGGUCAUUGAGUCGUUUAGUUCAAACAAUGGUUUGACAUUUUGUCAAAUGUAUGUGGCCAUGUCUCCAAAUCUGAUGCAUGUCAGCCCUCACCUUUUGAGGUUACAUGCUGCUUGCUGGGGAUGCUGAAAGCAUCUGCAGUUGUAGCUAAUGUUUGAAUUUUGUUGUUGGACAUAUUGUGAUUAUUUACCACAAAGUGGUGGCA